rnacentral:rRNA from 1 species
CAGCGCCACAAGUGGCGAUCCGCUUUAUUUGGCCUAAAGCGUCCGUAGCUGGUCAUGUAAAUCUCUUGUGAAAUUGCUUGGCUCAACCAAGCAGCGUGCAGGAGAGACUGCAAGACUAGGGACCGGGAGGCGUUAGAGGUAUGCCUGGGGGAGCGGUAAAAUGCUAUAAUCCUAGGUAGACCACCUGUGGCGAAGGCGUCUAACGAGAACGGGUCCGACAGUGAGGGACGAAAGCCAGGGGAGCAAACCGGAUUAGAUACCCGAGUAGUCC